UUACAAGAAGACGGCGCCCUCGCCGGCGUCGACCUUCAAACCACUGUGUACCAAACCUCGGCUGCUUCCGCGGGCGCGACUCGCUCGCGUCCGCGGAGGGACUCUGGCCGAGAAUUCAGUUGUGUUCGUGCCCGUGUGGGCGCCCCCGUACGCAUUCUAAGGGGGCCGCCGGGGGGGGGGCGUCCGGCCGCGCUACAGCUCAUCGCGAGCUCGCGGCCGGGCCGCCAGCCCUCCCCUGGGUUAACGCCGGGAUAAGCGCCCAACGCGGUACGAGCGCCCGACUCCAUAGCACUGUCGAGAUGGCAUCGUCUGAACAACCCAAAACACAGAAGUACAACUUUUAACAAUGGAUCUCUUGGCUCCGGCAUCGAUGAAGAACGCAGCGAAAUGCGAUAGCUAGUGUGAAUUGCAGAUUUCAGUGAAUCAUCGAGUCUUUGAACGCACAUUGCGCCUCUUGGUAUUCCUCGAGGCAUGCCUGUUCGAGCGUCGUUACGCCCCUCAAGCGCAAGCUUGGUGUUGGGGAUCGCCCCUGAGAUACGGCGGCGGCCCUUAAAUGCAUCGGCGGUGCUGGUCCCAGCCCGGAGCGCAGCAGACAUGCGGCUUCCUGGCGGCCCAGCGCCCGCCGGCCAACCA
rnacentral:misc_RNA from 1 species